UAGGGAAUCUUCGGCAAUGGACGAAAGUCUGACCGAGCAACGCCGCGUGAGUGAAGAAGGUUUUCGGAUCGUAAAACUCUGUUGUUAGAGAAGAACAAGGACGUUAGUAACUGAACGUCCCCUGACGGUAUCUAACCAGAAAGCUACGGCUAUCUACGUACCAGCAGCCGCGGUAAUACGUAGGUGGCAAGCGUUGUCCGGAUUUAUUGGGCGUAAAGCGAGCGCAGGCGGUUUCUUAAGUCUGAUGUGAAAGCCCCCGGCUCAACCGGGGAGGGUCAUUGGAAACUGGGAGACUUGAGUGCAGAAGAGGAGAGUGGAAUUCCAUUUGUAGCGGUGAAAUGCGUAGAUAUAUGGAGGAACACCAGUGGCGAAGGCGGCUCUCUGGUCUGUAACUGACGCUGAGGCUCGAAAGCGUGGGGAGCAAACAGG
rnacentral:rRNA from 1 species